UGUAGGAUAGUAUAGUGGUGACACUGCCGCCCUUUACACGGAAGACCAGGGUUCAAAUCCCGGUCAGAGAG